rnacentral:lncRNA from 10 species
UUGAGACCAGCCUGACCAACAUGGUGAAAUGCAAUCUCUACUAAAAAUACAAAAUUAGCUGGGUGUGGUGGUGCACGCCUGUAAUCCCAGCUACUCAGGAGGCUGAGGCAGGAGUAUCACUUGAACCAGGGAGUCAGAGGUUGCAGUGAGCCGUGAUUGCACCAUUGUACUCUAGCCUGGUGACAGAGCAAGACUCUGUCUCAAAAAAAAAAAAAAGUGUGUGUUUAUCUAUCUCUCUAUAUAUACACUUAAGAGUCUGCCUUUACUCUUGUCUAAUUACCCUUUCUUUCCCAAAAGGUAACCAUUUUCUUUAUGCAUUUACACACACACACACACACACACACACACACACAUACACACACACACACGCAUUGGGUUUUCUUUUUCAUAAAUGAUAUAAUGGACAAUAUUGAGUUUCAGGCCUUUUCAUAUUUCAAAGCCAGAAUAAAUAUACAAGGACUAUAACCUGUUUAUCAUUCUAGGCCUCUUUUCUCAAGGCCCUCCAAUCUCAUUUGUACUGUAGCCACUGCAAAUACAUCACAGGCACUGGGAAUUGGGCUGCAUUAGAGAAAGAGGUGCAUCAAUAAGAUCUCCCUGUGACAUCUGACCUUGUAGAACCUCUCCUCUUGUGGCUUUAGCACUCCAAAACCAAGCUGAGAAGAAAAGGAUGGAAGAGGAGAGUAGGGGAGAAACGUAUAGGCCCCUUGGGCCCUUGGAUGCCUGGGCUGUUAGGGUUUGGAUACAGUUCUCGCUAGGACUCUAAACUCUUUUGCCUCUUAUAGCCAGAGGCAUAGAGUUUGAAGCAUGUAAGAUUUUGGGAAACAUGCAACUGACCAAGGUCUAAUCAUCAAUGAUUGGAAGUGAAAUGUGCAAUAAAAGCCAACUGGGAGUUAACUCAAAGGCAUUAUGAAAGUUUGCUUCACUGAGUUAAAAUUAUAGCCUUUUGUCCCAAAUUUCUCAACAAAUACUCUAUAGAAAUUUUUAAGCCCCAGAGUCCUUAACUAAUGUUAUUUAAGGCAAUUUUAUGUGUCUAAUUGUACAGAUUCUUCGCUAACUUUUGAGAAAGAAAUGAUCUCAAAAUACCCUUGUGUCUACUGAUAUUUCAAGGAGGUUUGGAAGUCCAAAAGCCGGCUGUUUCUUUUCUGUGGGAUAAAGAUGGAGCAUGUGAAUCAGAACUGGUAAAUUGGAGAGGAGGUCACAAACCGAAUGGAGUUAAGCAAAGUGCAGUGCAAUCUGCAGUGGGAGAAAAGCCAGUUGUACAGAGGGGAAGGACUGGUUACCAUUAAAGUCUUCAAAAUUGGGACCUCAGAGGAGAAAUGAGUGGAGAAAUGAAUGGAGAACAACUCCUUGUUUCUCUCCCUCUCUUCUAGAGGAUGGGGCUAGUGUAAUGAGAUCCAGGUACAAUCCUUGAGAUAUCAGGGAUCCCCAUCCUGGUCUAUUCAGAAGUCCCCCAAACCUUCAGUGCCUAUAGUUCAUGUACUGCCUCUUCCAAAGAGCCUGCCUCGAUGGCUUGAUUGCAGUCAUCAAAUGACAUCUCACUAUUGAGAUGAUGUGUUUCCUUGUCCUUUUCUCAAUGGAAUGUGAGAUUCUUGAGACAAAGAUGUAACAGGCACACAAUAAUUAUUUGUUGAAUGUUGGCUGUAUCAGCUUCUCUGGUUGGAAAUAAUCCCCCCUCCUCUGAGUUCCCCUGGUGCUUUGCACUUACCUCACUCAUGUGAUCUUUUUCACAUUCCACUUUAUACUAUAAUUUCUGUAUUUUUUUAGCUCCACUAUUAUACUCAAAUUCUUCUGCAACAGAGAUGAGAUAAUGCAUGUAAAGCAUUAGUACCAUGUCUGCUGAAUAAAUGAUAGCUAUUAUUAUUUGUGUAAUGAGGCACUUGGAGGAGCAGAAAAUGAAUUUUAUUUAAAAAAACAGCUUUGGAAAAUCACAUUUGAAUAGAUCUUUAUUUUGCAAGAGUCACUUGAGUGAAUUACAAUACUACAAGAGACCUACUGCCUUGGAAGAAGGGAAUAAUACGAUGACUUGGUCUUGAAAUAUCUGUUCAGUGCUAAGCUGCACAACUUCAGGGGACAUCAUCCAUAUUGUAAUAGAUUGUGAUGGACAUAUUCUGAGAGGCACAAUGUGGAUGGUACCCCUGGAGUUCUGCAAGGAAGCUGCCCUGAAAAAAGAAAAGGAAAAGAGGCUUUGACCCUUUAUCUUUGAGGUCCUAGGUUACUGGUCCUCAAAUGGAUUGAUAUGGUACUCACUGAGAAUUAUCAGCAGGAAAGAAGAACAAGGGCCCCAGAGAGGCACUUGCCAUAAGGGAAGGGCUGUCUGCAGAGCACUGGGCUCAGCAAAGCUUUCUGACUGAGGCUAGAUGCCAUUGGGAAACAAGGAUGGACCUGAAUCACUGAAGGGCCACUGUAACCUUAAAAUCUUUCUGGGCUCUCCCCAGCACCAGUCAGAAACACCAAGGUAGAUCUAGAAGUCUCUUUUCCUCUCUAUUUCACCAGCUGCUUUUCCUCGAGGGUCCAGGAAGUUGAGACUGAUGUUUUAAUUUCACUUCAAAUAUACCAUCCUGUACUGUGUAUGCUCAGCAAGUGUUAAUGACUGACCGGCUAGCUGGUUGAGUGAAAAGUUUUAAUAUUGAAAGAAUUGGAGUCAUUCAUUAUUAUUUGAUUCCAGACAUGAGACAGAGUGGCAAUUUGAGGAAAAUAGUCCCAUGUGAUUUUG